AUUGAACGCUGGCGGCAGGCCUAACACAUGCAAGUCGAGCGCGCUGCGGACGGGUUAGUAAUGCCUGGGAAUCUAGCUUAUGGAGGUGGAUAACUAUGGGAAACUGUAGCUAAUACCGCUUACCAUAGGAUGAGCCCAAGUGGGAUUAGGUAGUGGGUGGGGUAAUGGCCCACAAAGCCGACGAUCUCUAGCUGGUCUGAGAGGAUGACCAGCCAAACUGGGACUGAGAAACGGCCCAGACUCCUACGGGAGGAAGCAGUGGGGAAUAUUGGGCAAUGGGGGCAACCUGACGCAGCCAUGCCGCGUGAAGGAAGAAGGCUUUCGGGUUGUAAAGUUCUUUCGGUAGCGAGGCGUUAACUACAGAAGAAGCGCCGGCUAACUACGUGCCAGCAGCCGCGGUAAUAC
rnacentral:rRNA from 1 species